rnacentral:rRNA from 1 species
UACGUAGGUGGCAAGCGUUGUCCGGAUUUACUGGGCGUAAAGGGCGUGCAGGCGGUCUGUUAAGUGCAGGGUGAAGCUACCCGGCUCAACUGGGAGAGGUCCUUGCAUACUGGCGGACUUGAGGGGGGUAGAGGAAAGUGGAAUUCCCGGUGUAGUGGUGAUAUGCGUAGAUAUCGGGAGGAACACCUGUGGCGAAGGCGGCUUUCUGGGCCCUACCUGACGCUGAGACGCGAAAGCGUGGGGAGCGA